rnacentral:rRNA from 1 species
AUGGCGGCUUUUCAUGGUCCAUCUUCUCACUCGUACCCUCCUUUAUCUCACACCCAGCUCUUCUCAACCCACCAGCAACCAAAGUAUAGCAACUACAGCGCCGAUCUCCCUGUGCUCCUAUCAUUCAAAUCGUUGAUAACCGGUGAUCCUACAGAGGCACUGUCCUCUUGGUCUUGGGACCCUGUCAGGAAUGGCACGAGCACGGUGCCGUUGCCUGAUUACUGCGAGUGGACCGGCGUGUCCUGCAGCAACCGCCGGCACUCAGGCCGUGUCACCGCCAUACAUCUGGAUGGCUUGGACCUAGCCUGCGCCAUCUGCCCCCGCAGCUCGGUAACCUGA